UACGUAGGGUGCAAGCGUUGUCCGGAAUUAUUGGGCGUAAAGAGCUCGUAGGCGGUCUGUCGCGUCGGCUGUGAAAACUCGGGGCUCAACCCCGAGCCUGCAGUCGAUACGGGCAGAUUAGAGUGCUGUAGGGGAGACUGGAAUUCCGGGUGUAGUGGUGGAAUGCGUAGAGAUCCGGAGGAACACCAGCGGCGAAGGCGGCAUCCUGGACUGGUCCUGACACUCAUGAGCGAAAGCGUGGGGAGCGAUCCGG
rnacentral:rRNA from 1 species